GAGCGACCACCCCUCUGGGACAUUAGCGGCGGACGGGUGCCUACACGUGGGUAACCUGCCUCAAAGAGGGGGAUAGCCUCCCGAAAGGGAGAUUAAUACCGCAUAAAAUAUGAAGUUCGCAUGAUCUUUAUAUUAAACGGAGUAAUCCGCUUUGAGAUGGACCCGCGGCGCAUUAUCUAGUUGGUGAGGUAACAGCUCACCAAGGCGACGAUGCGUAGCCGACCUGAGAGGGUGAUCGGCCACAUUGGAACUGAUAAACGGUCCAGACUCCUACGGGAGGCAUCAGUGGGGAAUAUUGCACAAUGGGGGAAACCCUGAUGCAGCAACGCCGCGUGAGUGAUGAAGGUCUUCGGAUUGUAAAGCUCUGUCUUUGGGGACGAUAAUGACGGUACCCAAUGAGGAAGCCACGGCUAACUACGUGCCAGCAGCCGCGGUAAU
rnacentral:rRNA from 1 species